rfam:Streptomyces sp. WM6378 P402contig37.1, whole genome shotgun sequence.
CUUCAGGGAGCCCAGCCACAGCGGGCUCUUCGGGUCCCGGCCCUGGCCGUAGGUGGCAAGGAGGGCCUCGGCCUC